AGUGAACGCUGGCGGUAGGCCUAACACAUGCAAGUCGAACGGCAGCACAGUAAGAGCUUGCUCUUACGGGUGGCGAGUGGCGGACGGGUGAGGAAUACAUCGGAAUCUACUUUUUCGUGGGGGAUAACGUAGGGAAACUUACGCUAAUACCGCAUACGACCUACGGGUGAAAGCAGGGGAUCUUCGGACCUUGCGCGAUUGAAUGAGCCGAUGUCGGAUUAGCUAGUUGGCGGGGUAAAGGCCCAUCAAGGCGACGAUCCGUAGCUGGUCUGAGAGGAUGAUCAGCCACACUGGAACUGAGACACGGUCCAGGCUCCUACGGGAGGCAGCAGUGGGGAAUAUUGGACAAUGGGCGCAAGCCUGAUCCAGCCAUACCGCGUGGGUGAAGAAGGCCUUCGGGUUGUAAAGCCCUUUUGUUGGGAAAGAAAAGCAGCAGGUUAAUACCCCGCUGUUCUGACGGUACCCAAAGAAUAAGCACCGGCUAACUUCGUG
rnacentral:rRNA from 1 species